UGGGGAAUAUUGCACAAUGGAGGGAACUCUGAUGCAGCGACGCCGCGUGAACGAAGAAGGCUUUCGAGUCGUAAAGUUCUUUUAUAUGGGAAGAUAAUGACGGUACCAUAAGAAAAAGCCCCGGCUAACUACGUGCCAGCAGCCGCGGUAAUACGUAGGGGGCUAGCGUUGUCCGGAAUCACUGGGCGUAAAGGGUUCGCAGGCGGAAAAGCAAGUCAGGUGUAAAAGGCAGUAGCUUAACUACUGUAAGCAUUUGAAACUGCAUAUCUUGAGAAGAGUAGAGGUAAGUGGAAUUUUUAGUGUAGCGGUGAAAUGCGUAGAUAUUAAAAAGAAUACCGGUGGCGAAGGCGGCUUACUGGGCUCAUUCUGACGCUGAGGAACGAAAGCGUGGGUAGCAAACAGG
rnacentral:rRNA from 1 species